CACGGAACCCGCCGCGCCGGCGCGACCCCCUCCCCCAGAGCCCUCGGGUGGCUUCUCCCGCGCCCUCCCGGGAUGCUCCUGCCGGCCGGGCCGACCUCCGCGUCCGCAUCUCUCUGGGGGGGGCGAGGGGACGGGACCGAUGCUCUCCUGUCCAAGGGGCCAGGUCCUCCCAGGGCCCGCCAGAAGAGCCAUACCCAACCCCACCGUCUGUGGGCAAGGCCAGCAGACCCUCUGCCCACUCGCAGGCCAGGGCUCACGACCCGAGGGCGCCCAGAGGGAGAGGAGGCCCCUUUGUGUGACUAAAUUUGGCAAGAAUAUGGAUCCGAGCCAGUCUUUCCACGUGUGCUCCCAGCUCCCAGCUGAGAAGGCCAAGGGUUCUCUUCCGGGAGAACCAGUUUGGCUAUUAAGGGAACCUCUCAGCACAGUGCAGAGCAAGAGAAAAAGCAAGAUUUCAGAGAGAAUAGCUGUUUACCAUCAAAGCGAACUGGGUUCCACACAGACAUGGUAUAUUAUACACAGAAACGAAGUGUCACCUGGGUUUUGCAUCAUUGUGAGCUCCCUCCUUCAGGGCACAGCUGAGUUUCUUGGGUGAGAGGAGGAAAAUCCCACACAGGUAUGCACUCCCUGGCAGAUGACAAAAUUACACUUUGUGUAUGUUUUGGAUUUUUCUUUUUACUCCUCAAAGACCCAACAACUAGGAGAAAUUCAGGCAACAAAGUAAAAUUAAUGAGAUUUUUGGGAUGAUGGAUGGAUUUCAGCUGCCAUCAUAGCACUGUCAAUAAUUGUGAACUGGUUAUAAACCACUUGUGGCAGGAAGCCCUAGAGUUUCCACUUCUAAACACAUAGCAAAAUACAGCACCAUAUCUCUACCACCCACAACACAUUCUAGCCUGCCUAUAGUUAAAUGAGCCACUGGAUCUACUAUAAUAAAAUCUUCAUUAGCUCGUUAGUCUAUGAUGUU
rnacentral:lncRNA from 1 species